AUAAAACAUUACAAUACACCAUCAAUGCACAGAUAUAAAAACGGAAUGUAAACAAAGAUGCAUGGAAUGUAAACAAAGAUGCAUGGAACGUAAACAAAGAUGCAUGGAACGUAAACAAAGAUGCAUGGAACGUAAACAAAGAUGCAUGAAAUGUAAACAAAGAUGCAUGGAACGUAAACAAAGAUGCAUGGAACGUAAACAAAGAUGCAUGGAACGUAAACAAAGAUGCAUGGAACGUAAACAAAGAUGCAUGGAACGUAAACAAAGAUGCAUGGAACGUAAACAAAGAUGCAUGGAAUGUAAACAAAGAUGCAUGGAACGUAAACAAAGAUGCAUGGAACGUAAACAAAGAUGAUAAAUUAGACACAUGUGCAACUCUUGGGUAUCUUUAUUGAGGAACGUUUCGCCACACAGUGGCUUCAUCAGUCUAUACCAAGGAGAAUCUUGAAGAACAGGAGGAGAAUGAGUAAAAGAAAAAAAUCCAGACCUCUGACACAACUCCUGCCACACUGGGCGUAACAAGCUGCACAAGAGCAUGGUGCCAUGGUGGUCGCUGUAUAUUCCAAACCUGCCAGAUAAGAUCUCAAAGUCAGAACACUAAUACCUGUGCAAUGGCAGCAUAUACAGUAUGAGGGAUGAGAGGUGGUGUACAGAGGUGCUUCAUACACAUAGGUCCACCACAAGGCUCUCCAGUGGACACCUGGCCUGGGGCAUCCUGCAGACCUGUC